rnacentral:lncRNA from 1 species
GAGAGAGAGAUGAAAUGAUGGUGAAAAAGAGAGAGCGAUGAAACGAUAGUGAAAAAGAUAAAGAGAAUAAUAUAUAAACUAACUUUGUUCAAAAAAUAAUAAUAUGUAAACUAACUUCAUGAUUGAUCGUGCGGUGAUGGUGGUAAGUUAAGAAUAAUUAGGAAAUUUGUGUUUUUUUUUAUAUUAGUUUGUAUGAUAAAACGUGGGUAGUUAUCCAUGUUUCUCUUUUUUUAUUGUUAAAUUAAUUUAUAGAAAAUAUAUAAAAGAAUCUUUUAAAAUUUAAUAGACAAAAACUCAUAGAAAAAUUGAUAUAUAUUUUUUUGAAACACAGAAAAAUUGAUAUCUAAAUUCAUAUUAAUAAGCGUAGAAAAGGUAAUAAUAAUAUUGAUUAUGGAUUCACAUGGGUGAAAAUAAUCCUUCAUAAAA